GCGCGCGUUCCUUCUCAGCAGACCGAUCAAUAAGUUGCACAGUUCCGGACUCGUGCCAGAUGGCAUUCUGCAAUUUGAAACUUUUAUUUAAGUACUUAUUUUCAUAAUCAUAAAAGUCUUAAUGAAGAAGAUUGGUAUUUGGUUUAAAUUAGGACUAACGAGGAUCGAAUUAAUCAAAUUAAAAUGUUGAUAUAAAUGAAGUAGGUACAAACGGCUAGAAGAUUAUUAAUAAUACUCGACACAAACCAUGUGCUUAUCAACAUUAAGACAUUGUUGACAACAUUAACCUACAAUGAGGUACAAGAAUAACGUAUUCCGCAAUGGCUAUUUCCGCAUUGAAUACAAACACCAUCAUGUGGUACAUUCCUAUAAACGUGCAGGUAAAGAUGAUAAUUUUAGAAAUUUAAACUAAGCUUUAUCACAUAAAAUUUAACAGGAAGGCAAAACCGGUUUUAUAAUUAACAUUAAUGAUGUAAUAUAUAUUUAUUUUUAUAACACGUCAGUGUGACAAGUUGCUCAUACCGAAACCGAAGCAGAGCAAAACCAUUGCCGUUUGGCGGAAGAAUAAACGACUUGUGUAGAUUUAAAAAAUA